rnacentral:rRNA from 1 species
GAUGAACGCUGGCGGCGUGCCUAAUACAUGCAAGUCGAGCGAACGGACGAGAAGCUUGCUUCUCUGAUGUUAGCGGCGGACGGGUGAGUAACACGUGGAUAACCUACCUAUAAGACUGGGAUAACUUCGGGAAACCGGAGCUAAUACCGGAUAAUAUUUUGAACCGCAUGGUUCAAAAGUGAAAGCCGGUCUUGCUGUCACUUAUAGAUUGAUCCGCGCUUCAUUAGCUAGUUGGUAAGGUAACGGCUUACCAAGGCAACGAUGCAUAGCCGACCUGAGAGGAUGAUCAGCCACACUGGGACUGAGACACGGCCCAGACUCCUACGGGAGGCAGCAGUAGGGAAUUUUCGGCAAUGGGCGCAAGCCUGAUGCAGCAAUGCCGCGUGAAGGAUGAAGGCCUUCGGAUUGUAAACUGCUGUUAUAAGGAACGAAACGACUCUGGUUAAUCCGCGCGGAUAAUGACGGUACCGAAAGAAUAAGCACCGGCUAACUACGUG